rnacentral:rRNA from 1 species
CUAACACAUGCAAGUCGAACGGUAACAGGAAGCAGCUUGCUGCUUUGCUGACGAGUGGCGGACGGGUGAGUAAUGUCUGGGAAACUGCCUGAUGGAGGGGGAUAACUACUGGAAACGGUAGCUAAUACCGCAUAACGUCGCAAGACCAAAGAGGGGGACCUUCGGGCCUCUUGCCAUCGGAUGUGCCCAGAUGGGAUUAGCUAGUAGGUGGGGUAACGGCUCACCUAGGCGACGAUCCCUAGCUGGUCUGAGAGGAUGACCAGCCACACUGGAACUGAGACACGGUCCAGACUCCUACGGGAGGCAGCAGUGGGGAAUAUUGCACAAUGGGCGCAAGCCUGAUGCAGCCAUGCCGCGUGUAUGAAGAAGGCCUUCGGGUUGUAAAGUACUUUCAGCGGGGAGGAAGGCGAUAAGGUUAAUAACCUUGUCGAUUGACGUUACCCGCAGAAGAAGCACCGGCUAACUCCGUGCCAGCAGCCGCGGUAAUACGGAGGGUGCAAGCGUUAAUCGGAAUUACUGGGCGUAAAGCGCACGCAGGCGGUCUGUCAAGUCGGAUGUGAAAUCCCCGGGCUCAACCUGGGAACUGCAUUCGAAACUGGCAGGCUAGAGUCUUGUAGAGGGGGGUAGAAUUCCAGGUGUAGCGGUGAAAUGCGUAGAGAUCUGGAGGAAUACCGGUGGCGAAGGCGGCCCCCUGGACAAAGACUGACGCUCAGGUGCGAAAGCGUGGGGAGCAAACAGGAUUAGAUACCCUGGUAGUCCACGCCGUAAACGAUGUCGACUUGGAGGUUGUGCCCUUGAGGCGUGGCUUCCGGAGCUAACGCGUUAAGUCGACCGCCUGGGGAGUACGGCCGCAAGGUUAAAACUCAAAUGAAUUGACGGGGGCCCGCACAAGCGGUGGAGCAUGUGGUUUAAUUCGAUGCAACGCGAAGAACCUUACCUACUCUUGACAUCCAGAGAACUUUCCAGAGAUGGAUUGGUGCCUUCGGGAACUCUGAGACAGGUGCUGCAUGGCUGUCGUCAGCUCGUGUUGUGAAAUGUUGGGUUAAGUCCCGCAACGAGCGCAACCCUUAUCCUUUGUUGCCAGCGGUUAGGCCGGGAACUCAAAGGAGACUGCCAGUGAUAAACUGGAGGAAGGUGGGGAUGACGUCAAGUCAUCAUGGCCCUUACGAGUAGGGCUACACACGUGCUACAAUGGCGCAUACAAAGAGAAGCGACCUCGCGAGAGCAAGCGGACCUCAUAAAGUGCGUCGUAGUCCGGAUUGGAGUCUGCAACUCGACUCCAUGAAGUCGGAAUCGCUAGUAAUCGUGGAUCAGAAUGCCACGGUGAAUACGUUCCCGGGCCUUGUACACACCGCCCGUCACACCAUGGGAGUGGGUUGCAAAAGAAGUAGGUAGCUUAACCUUCGGGAGGGCGCUUACCACUUUGUGAUUCAUGACUGGGGUGAAGUCGUAACAAGGUAACCGUAGGGGAACCUGCGGUUGGAUCACCUCCUUACCUUAAAGAA